CCUUAACAAGUAACAAUUAGAGGGCAAGUCUGGUGCCAGCAGCCGCGGUAAUUCCAGCUCUAAUAGCGUAUAUUAAUAUUGUUGCAGUUAAAAAGCUCGUAGUUGAAAUUUGGAACUUUAUUGUAUUGGUUUGUCUUUUGAUGAACUGUAUAAUGGGUUUCUUCCUACUAGAGUUCGAUUCUGUUCUUAACUGAAUGGAGUAGCUAUCUUUCGGGGUGGUCAAUUGGUUGUUAUAUCUCCACUAAUAAGCAGAGAGGGGUUAAACCUUCAAAGUAAGUUAUGUGGAUCAAGGUAUGGUGAUUAAUUGGAGUUCUAGUUCAUUUACUUUGAGAAAAUUAGAGUGUUUAAAGCAGCCUCUUGGGGCACUGAAUACAUUAGCAUGGGAUAAUAAAAAUAGGAUCUUCACAAUAUAUUUUAUUGGUUUAAAUUGUCGUAUGAAGAUAAUGAUUAAUA
rnacentral:rRNA from 1 species